UACGAAGGGGGCUAGCGUUGCUCGGAAUCACUGGGCGUAAAGGGUGCGUAGGCGGGUCUUUAAGUCAGGGGUGAAAUCCUGGAGCUCAACUCCAGAACUGCCUUUGAUACUGAGGAUCUUGAGUACGGGAGAGGUGAGUGGAAUUCCCAGUGUAGAGGUGAAAUUCGUAGAUAUUGGGAAGAACACCGGUGGCGAAGGCGGCUAUCUGGACCGUAACUGACGCUGAGGCGCGAAAGCGUGGGGAGCAAACAGG
rnacentral:rRNA from 1 species